rnacentral:piRNA from 1 species
GAGCCUGUCAGAUGAGUAACACUGGUC